GAUGAAGAACGCAGCGAAAUGCGAUACUUGGUGUGAAUUGCAGAAUCCCGUGAACCAUCGAGUCUUUGAACGCAAGUUGCGCCCGAAGCCUCGGCUAAGGGCACGUCUGCCUGGGCGUCACGCAUCGCGUCUCCCCCAACCCGCCAAGGCGGAGGGGAAGGAAGAUGGCUUCCCGUGCCUCACCCGGCGCGGUUGGCCUAAAUUUGGAGCCCGCGGCACUUAGCUCUCGCGGCGAUAGGUGGUGAACAAGGCCUUGGCCGUGCAAACAACCCGCUGCGAAGCUCUAUGUCACGUGCGCUCGUCGGACCCUUUGAAGUUGCCUUCGGUGACUUAAAACCUUUGCGAACCCAGGUCAGGCGGGGCUACCCGCUGAAUUUAAGCAUAUCAAUAAGCGGAGGA
rnacentral:misc_RNA from 1 species